rnacentral:rRNA from 1 species
CAAUAGCGUAUAUUUAAGUUGUUGCAGUUAAAAAGCUCGUAGUUGGAUUUCGGGUGGGACGCAGCGGUCUCGCAUUGCGUUUGUACUGCUGCAGCCCUCCUUCUUGCCGGGGGCGGCCUCUCGGACUUCACUGUCUGGGGGUCAGAAUCGGCGAUGUUACUUUGAGUAAAUUAGAGUGUUCAAAGCAAGCUUACGCUCUGAAUAUAAUAGCAUGGGAUAACACGACAGGACUCUGGCCUAUCGUGUUGGUCUAUAGGACCAGAGUAAUGAUUAAGAGGGACAGUCGGGGGCAUUCGUAUUCCGUUGUCAGAGGUGAAAUUCUUGGAUUUACGGAAGACGAACAUCUGCGAAAGCAUUUGCCAAGGAUGUUUNCAUUG